GGCUCCCAGUGGAAGACGGCAGUAGAACAAAGAUAGGCAGUCCAAGGAGCAGCAAUGUGAUGCCCUGGUCCUCUUUCGGCAUCAGUGUUUCAGCAUAGCUCAGCCUGGGAUGCUCACCACUCAACAAUGUCUGCCUGCUUGUCUUUGAUCAUUUAUGUGGCUGGCCUCUGUGAAGCUUUGCUAGGUGUUGGGGAUACAUGGAUGAAUAGUAUGGGGCCGUUGAGGGAGAAAAGCAGACAGUUAAACAUAUAAAGGAAGCCUUUGGAAAUAUCCCCAAGAGUGCCUGAAAAAACAGGACCGAAGAAAUGACACAGCAGCGUGGGCUCUGUCCUCUUCAGCCUUCCACAGUUCCUUCUCAUAUCCGUUUUACCUAUCUACCCCAGCUCUGCAGACACCCCUAAUGCACGCUAAGAAUACACCUGUUUGAGCGCUCUUUGGAAAAGCAGGGGUAUUUGUUCAGAGACCGAUGUCUUGACUCUUGCUCCCGCCAGGAGGCACUGCUCGAGGCGGUCGAGAA